UGUAUGAAUAUCCUUUUCCUAUAUCCAUCACAAGUCCAAAAUGUGAACAUACUUUUAUUUUUAUUUGGGAUCUGAAUAUUUGUGCAGCAAAUAUUGAGUAUGGAAUGUUACACAUUGCUUCAAAUUUGCAUUUCCUGCCAUAAAUUUACACAGUAGUAAAUUCUGUUCAAAUUAGGUAUGUCAGCUUCAUGAAUUGAAGUAUAUGAAAAUACAUGUUAAAACUGAUGUAUGUAUGUGGGAAGUGAAUGAUCACUUUUCUGCUCUUUGUGCUUCCCCCCACCAAAUCCUGCUUAUGAAACCAAUAUGCUAAAGCUAAAUA